UAGAUUGAAGCCAGUUGUGUAGGGUAUUUAGCUGUUAACUAAAUUUUCAUGGGGUUGGAGCCCAUCAGUCUAG
rnacentral:tRNA from 1 species